CUUUGUCAGCAAUGAGAAUGUCUGUGUAGUUAUACAGGUCUGGAGACUCUCCAGCCAGGCUCCUCCACCUGUGGGUCUCAAGGGAUUUCUGCUCCAUUUUGUGGGUGAUUGCUGAAAGCGGCCAGCACAUCUUCCUGUCAUGCUAACAAAAGCUCAGUGCCAUGUGGAGAGCUGCAAUAUUGGCUUGGUCAUCCUAUCCCAGCUGAGGAACUCACACAAUCACUUUUUCUGCAAAGACCAGCAAGGAGUCAGGCUGAGUCUUCCUGCUCUGUGCAGUAGUUUACCCAUCCAUGAAAAGAAAAAAAAAAAAAAAAAAAA